CCUACGGGUGGCAGCAGUGGGGAAUAUUGGACAAUGGGGGGAACCCUGAUCCAGCCAUGCCGCGUGUGUGAAGAAGGCCCUCGGGUUGUAAAGCACUUUCAGUGAGGAAGAACGCCUGGUGGUUAAUACCCAUCAGGAAAGACAUCACUCACAGAAGAAGCACCGGCUAACUCCGUGCCAGCAGCCGCGGUAAUACGGAGGGUGCGAGCGUUAAUCGGAAUUACUGGGCGUAAAGCGCGCGUAGGUGGCUUGAUAAGCCGGUUGUGAAAGCCCCGGGCUCAACCUGGGAACGGCAUCCGGAACUGUCAAGCUAGAGUGCAGGAGAGGAAGGUAGAAUUCCCGGUGUAGCGGUGAAAUGCGUAGAGGUCGGGAGGAAUACCAGUGGCGAAGGCGGCCUUCUGGACUGACACUGACACUGAGGUGCGAAAGCGUGGGUAGCAAACAGGAUUAGAUACCCGUGUAGUC
rnacentral:rRNA from 1 species